rnacentral:rRNA from 1 species
AUAAUGGGUCAGCGACUUAUAUUCUGUAGCAAGGUUAACCGAAUAGGGGAGCCGAAGGGAAACCGAGUCUUAACUGGGCGUUAAGUUGCAGGGUAUAGACCCGAAACCCGGUGAUCUAGCCAUGGGCAGGUUGAAGGUUGGGUAACACUAACUGGAGGACCGAACCGACUAAUGUUGAAAAAUUAGCGGAUGACUUGUGGCUGGGGGUGAAAGGCCAAUCAAACCGGGAGAUAGCUGGUUCUCCCCGAAAGCUAUUUAGGUAGCGCCUCGUGAAUUCAUCUCCGGGGGUAGAGCACUGUUUCGGCAAGGGGGUCAUCCCGACUUACCA